CUCUCCAGUUACUACCACCACCAUCACAGGUUACCCAACCUCAACACCCACCACCACAGUCAAAGAGACCCCUACCCCUACAAAUACAGUACCUACUACAGGAUCGACCUCUUCCAAACCUCCAAGUGAAUCCUUGACGCCUGUGACCUCUCAGUCCACUCCUUCCCCACCCACGGAGUCCACCACCCUUUCAAGUACCCCUGUAACCACCACAGCAACAUCUAGCACAGUAUCAUCCCCUGGAACAACAUCACCAGUUGUCACUUCAUCGGCGGGCAGCACUGCCUCUUCACCUCCAGGUUCAACACCAGGACCUACCACAUCUUCAGGCACGCCCACCUCCUCAAAGACCACAACAGGGCCAACUUCACCUACCACAAGACCACC